CUCAUUCAGGGGCAGACUGAAAGGGAGGGGAAGAAAGGGAGAGAAAAAGGAAGCAGUCUGCUAUACAUUUUUUUUCUCCACACUGAAACUUUCAAAAAGAGAAAAGACUAUAAGAAAGCCGGUGAGGAUCAACCGAUUGGGAAUGAGAGCGAGAGAUAAAGAAAGAGGGAGGAAUAACACUAACCUGACACUGAGUAUACUGCACAACUGAUGAGAACAUCAAAUAGUACGUGUUUGAGGCCUUGGGGCCUUCAUUGACCAAGGAGGGAGAGCAGGUGGGCACUUCUGGUCCUGGAGGGUUGCAGUGUGUGCAGGCUUUUAUUCCAACCCUCAGAGGCCUGACAGAGAGAGAGAGAGAGCAUGUCUUCUAACUUGGACUCCAGUCUAACCAGCAUAGACUGGCUCCCCCAGCUGGGAAUCAGCUCACUGCGAUCAGGAAGAGAGAGAGGAGGAGAAGAGGGGGAGAGAAAGAAAGAGAGAGGGAGGGAGAGAAGUGAUCUUCCUCCAUCCAUCCCUGUCCCCUUUCCUUCCUCUGGAUCCAAAGCCAAGCCCCCUCACAGCUAUGCCACCCUCAUCGCCAUGGCGAUAGGUGCCGCCCCCGGCAGGAAGUUGAGUUUGAAUGACAUCUACAUGUGGAUCAGUGACAUGUUCCCCUACUACAGCAGAUCUGCCAGGGGAUGGAAGAACUCCAUCCGCCAUAACCUGUCCCUCAAUAAAUGCUUCCGGAAGGUUCCUCGACCCCAAAGUGACCCUGGGAAGGGUUCCUAUUGGAUGAUGGACGGCUCCUCAGAGCCCAAUCCGCUGAGAGGAACCAAGCGUCCGUAUCCAUCUGAAGAGGAGGAGGGGUCCAUCCAGGCCCCCAAUGUCUCAGUGAUGCAGGCAGAGAAACAGCAUUCACCUCAGACAGACCAUUAUAGGCCUUUAGCAUCGCCACAGAUAGACCAUUAUAGGCCUUUAGCAUCUCCACAGACAGACCAUUAUAGGCCUUUAGCAUCUCCACAGACAGACCAUUAUAGGCCAUUAGCAUCUCCACAGACAGACCAUUAUAGGCCUUUAGCAUCUCCACAGACAGACCAUUAUAGGCCUUUAGAAUUGCCACAGGAACCCAGUCAACAACUAUCCCCCCCACCAUGCAAGGUAGAGUAUGUUCAGUCCCAACAAAUAGAUAAAGAUCAUGGGUUUUACAACCAAAUAAUAAGCUGUUGUUGUCUAUCACCUUGGUUCCACAGCAACGGCCACCCUAUAUGCAGUCCCCUGUCUCCUCUCUCCCUGUCCCCCAUGAUACUGUCUCCCCAUCUACUACCUCUGCUACUCUCCCUUCUCUUUCUGUCCCUCACUCUCUCCCCUCUCUUUCUGUCCCUCACUCUCUCCCCUCUAUUUCUAUCCCUCACUCUCUCCCUUCUCUUUCUGUCCCUCACUCUCUCCACUCUCUUUCUGUCCCUCACUCUCUCCCCUCUAUUUCUGUCCCUCACUCUCUCCCCUCUAUUUCCAUCCCUCACUCUCUCCCUUCUCUUUCCGUCCCUCACUCUCUCCCUUCUCUUUCUGUCCAUCACUCUCUCCCUUCUCUUUCUAUCCCUCACUCUCUCCCUUCUCUUUCUGUCCCUCACUCUCUCCCCCCUCUUUCUGUCCCUCACUCUCUCCCCUCUCUUUCUGUCCCUCACUCUCUCCCCGCUCUUUCUACCUCUCACUCUACUGUCUCCUCUUCUGUCUCCCCUCACUCUCUCCCCUCUCUUUCUGUCCCUCACUCUCUCCCCGCUCUUUCUACCUCUCACUCUACUGUCUCCUCUUCUGUCUCCCCUCAAACUCUCCCUUCUUCUGUUCCCGCUCUCUCUGUUCCCGUUCUGUCUGUUCCCUCUCUUUCUGUCCCAUCUCUUUCUGUUGCCCCCACCUACGCCUCGUCACACUCCUGUGAUCCCCUUCUCCGUUUCUCCUUCUCUGAUCUGAACCUGCCAGACCUCUACACCUCCUUCCAGUCCCUCUGCAGAAGCGUCAGGGAGAGAGUGGCCUCGCAAUCGGACGUGGGUCCCUUAUUUGUGUUGACCAAUGACAGUACCCCACUGCACACCCCAACCCUCCCCCCCCUUUCCCCUCACCCUGUACCCUC